rnacentral:lncRNA from 1 species
UUAAUGGACCUGGACAGUGGUGAUGUUAAGAGAAGAGUACAUUUAUUUGAAACCCAGAGAAGGACAAAAGAAGAAGAUCCAAUAAUUCCCUUUAGUGAUGGACCCAUCAUCUCAAAAUGGGGUGCGAUUUCCAGAUCUUCCCGUACAGGUUACCAUACCACAGAUCCUGUCCAGGCCACUGCUUCCCAAGGAAGUGCGACUAAGCCCAUCAGUGUAUCAGGUGGAGUUCAUAUGGCAACGAGGCCACAUCAUCAGCACACUAUGUUGAAAGGGACAGAUUCAUUGUUACUGAUUUAUCUGGUCAUAGAAAGCAUUCCAGUACUGGGGACCUUUUGAGCCUUGAACUUCAGCAGGCCAAGAGCAACUCAUUACUUCUUCAGAGAGAGGCCAAUGCUUUGGCCAUGCAACAGAAGUGGAAUUCCCUGGAUGAAGGCCGUCACCUUACCUUAAACCUUUUAAGCAAGGAAAUUGAACUAAGAAAUGGAGAGGUAAAGAAACUGAACCUUUCGGCUUCAUGCUUAAUGUAUUUGUUUUCUGCUGCUGCAUCUUGGUUAUACCAUUACUGAGUGCAUUUUGGUGUGCCUAUCUCUGAUGGAUGAUUGAUUGCUUUUAAAACUUAUAACAGAAAUAAAAUUGUAAUCCCAGAUUUCUUAAAUAAUUCUUUAA